CCUACGGGGGGCAGCAGUGGGGAAUAUUGGGCAAUGGGCGCAAGCCUGACCCAGCAACGCCGCGUGAAGGAAGAAGGCUUUCGGGUUGUAAACUUCUUUUCUCAGGGACGAAGCAAGUGACGGUACCUGAGGAAUAAGCCACGGCUAACUACGUGCCAGCAGCCGCGGUAAUACGUAGGUGGCAAGCGUUAUCCGGAUUUACUGGGUGUAAAGGGCGUGUAGGCGGGAAAGCAAGUCAGAUGUGAAAACCAUGGGCUCAACCUGUGGCCUGCAUUUGAAACUGUUUUUCUUGAGUACUGGAGAGG
rnacentral:rRNA from 1 species